rnacentral:rRNA from 1 species
UACGUAGGCAGCGAGCGUUAAUCGGAAUUACUGGGCGUAAAGCGUGCGUAGACGGUUAUUUAAGUCAGGUGUGAAAGCCCCGGGCUCAACCUGGGAAUUGCAUUUGAGACUGAAUAGCUAGGGUGCGGAAGAGGGAAGCGGAAUUUCCGGUGUAGCGGUGAAAUGCGUAGAUAUCGGAAGGAACACCAGUGGCGAAAGCGGCUUCCUGGUCCAGCACCGACGUUCAGGCACGAAAGCGUGGGGAGCAAACAGG